ACAGUGAUUUCUGCUGCUGCGUUCGCUGCUUUCAUUGCUGCUCUUCUCUGGCUGAUCUGGAGAAAAAGAGCUGGUAAUAAAAGAGGGACUGGUGAACCGGUGGUGAAAGAUGAGAAUGAAGAUAAAGGAACGUAUGAGACGAUCAACAUGUCCACUCCUGCUGCUGCGAGAGACAAUGAGCAGACGGAUGAUGUGACUUACUAUUUAGUC